rnacentral:tRNA from 1 species
GACGUAGCUCAGUUGGUAGAGCCCCUGAUUGUGAUUCAGGUGGUCGUGGGUUCGAGCCCCAUCGUC